rnacentral:rRNA from 1 species
UAUUGGACAAUGGGCGAAAGCCUGAUCCAGCAAUGCCGCGUGAGUGAUGAAGGCCUUAGGGUUGUAAAGCUCUUUUACCCGGGAUGAUAAUGACAGUACCGGGAGGAUAAGCUCCGGCUAACUCCGUGCCAGCAGCCGCGGUAAUACGGAGGGAGCUAGCGUUGUUCGGAAUUACUGGGCGUAAAGCGCACGUAGGCGGCUUUGUAAGUUAGAGGUGAAAGCCUGGAGCUCAACUCCAGAAUUGCCUUUGAUACUGCAUCGCUUGAAUCCAGGAGAGGUGAGUGGAAUUCCGAGUGUAGAGGUGAAAUUCGUAGAUAUUCGGAAGAACACCAGUGGCGAAGGCGGCUCACUGGACUGGUAUUGACGCUGAGGUGCGAA